UUGAACAAAGGGGAGGCUGAGGGUGAGGUGAGGGCUUGGCCAGGGGACAGCUCCCUCCUCAUCCACUUCCUGUCCCCUACUCACAUGCACUCCGCUGGCUUGCUACAGUAGCCAUUCUGUUCAUGACAGCCAGAAAGACAGACAGCUGAGGAAAGAAAACAGAGCGGGGUGACAACCAGGGGCAGACUUGGAGUAGAAAGGAGAUCCCUGACAUCAAAUGAGGUCUAAGAGGAAGGCGAGGAAAAAGGAGAGCUGAAAGCAAACAGUGUAAGGGAAGAAAGCCAGGUGGAUCAUGGAAAGGAGGAAAACCUUGACUGUGAGGGCCUUUUGUGGGAAGGAGAUAGGACAAGGUUCUUGGCUGGAGAGAGAAGACUGGAGCUUCGGGAAUGGGUCUGGAGAAGAGAUGAAGGGUAGAAGAGCCAACUGCCCGUGGCCUUGGCCUUCCAGAGAUGACUCUCCUGCCAAGGAUCCCUCAGAGUGCAGAGGACUCAGAGAGGUGAGAAAAGAACGGGGCAAGAGAACAGAGACAUCAAGAGUCUACAGGCACCCCUCAGGCACCCUCGCUCACGGGGCAAGAGGACAAAGACACUGCUCCAAGUGAUGGGACUGAGACAGAACUUUUGGCCAACUUGAGCUGAAGGACUGAGGGCAGUUGGGCCCUCUGUCUCAGACCAGCUUCCCUAGCUGAGGUGUUUCUUCCUCUGUAGAAGCCUCCUCACUUACUUAUACUCUACCCUGGCUGGCUAGCCUCCACUGUGCUCUCCUCUUGUCCCUCCCCAGCAUCCAGGUCACUUGUUUCUGAAACUCUCUUUUCUGGAAACUUUGACAGGUGGGAAGCUCUCCGCGGCCCCACCCUUCCCUCAGGCCUCACUCCCCUCUUCUGGCUCAGGCCUUCGUUGGCAUCCAGGCUGGGCAUCCUCCCUGACCUCCGAGUGGCCCCAGGUGUCCUUCACCUUCCUCCUCCGAGCUGCAGCUCAUCUCUUGGAAGGAACUCUGACCUCUCCUCAUUUCUCCACAUAGCAUCUGAUCUCUGAUCCCUGCUGCCACCCAGGACUUGAAGUGAGCGAGAGAUAGGGGACGGGCCGCCCCAGGAACCUGGGAGUGGGGGCUACUCAGAUGGCUUCCCUGGGAGAAAGUGUCAGGCCUGAACCAGGAAGUGCUGUGUUUCAAAUACUCUCAUGUAGAAAGACCUCAGGGACAGGUGCCAGCUCUGAACAGCUACCUGAGCAGGCAGGGCACUGUUCCCUGGAGAAGGCUGAGGAGGAAUCUGACUGCCGUGGUCAAGUAGGUGAUGGGUCUUAAGCAAAGGAUGGUGACUGGCUGUCUCCUUCUCCCACCAUGGUCAGAAUGAGAGGAAAUGGGCUUCAAUUGUGGCAGGAAGGAUUUAGGUUAGACAUAUGGGAGAACUUCCUGUGACAGUGUCUAAGCUCUGUAUCCCAGUUGUUCAUCCAGAUUGAACUCUCCCCUGGAGUUGAUGAGAAUUGCAUGUUGAUGCUUGCUAAUGAGUAACUUGCCUUGCCUGUGAUUAGCAAAGAACCUCCAGCCCACAGAAUUUCUGUGUCCAGACUCUUCCCCAGGGAAGAAGUCCAGAGAGGCCUGGGAGGCACCAGGACCAGAGCCUCCUUUCAGCCCCAAGGAGUUUUCUGGACAAGCUUAGGCCACUUCCAGCCAAUGUCACUUUGCCUCUCCUGCCCCUAGCCCUCUGGCCACCACUCUCAGAAAAACAAGUCCUGUGGAGCUGUCCAGCUACAAGAACUUUGAGGUAAAGGGGCAGGCUGGAUUUAAGGUCUGGGAGCUCAGAGAGAAUUUCCGGAGCAAUGGUGAACACUCAGGAUCUCCAACACCAGGGGCUUCAGUAAAAGCCUCAGUUAACUCUAUAUAUUUAGAAACAGGCAGGCUGGGACACUCAUUGUGUCCACUCAUCCCAGUGUCUUGAGUCCUCCUUGGGCAGCAUGAAUACUCUUGUUGUUGGAGCAUUCUGCUGCCAAGAUUCCUGUGUCGCCUUGUGGCCAACUGCCCCCUCUCACUUCCCUUCCUUUCCUAAGUGGCUUGACCCCCUGCCCCUAUUACUGCAGCUCUUCUCCAGGUGGAGUGGAGGCUAGGGUGACCUAGGACAAAUCCAUCAAACUGACAGCAAAAGAAGAGGAUGCAGGCAAAAGAUGUGUGCACCCCAUGGCUAGCUUUCCUGGGGCCACAUGUGUAUGCUGAGUUUGGGUCCAUCAGUCAACCAACCGUGGAUGAGUUCUAGCGUGUGCCUGGCACUGGGCUAAGGUCAGUGAGGCCACUUCACUCCUGAUGCCGAUGGAAAAGAAAUGUGAUGACCUUUGGAACCAGGGUUCAGGGAGGGAGCGGGGGCUUCAAAGAUCCAAAGACGCUUUAUGGGAGAGGGGGAUUGCACUGAUCCUGGAUGGAAAAAAAAGAGUGGAACUUAGAGAAAGAGAGGGCAUUCCUGGCAGGGAGAAUGGAGAGAG